rnacentral:rRNA from 1 species
GAUGAACGCUGGCGGCGUGCCUAAUACAUGCAAGUCGAGCGAACAGACGAGGAGCUUGCUCCUCUGACGUUAGCGGCGGACGGGUGAGUAACACGUGGAUAACCUACCUAUAAGACUGGGAUAACUUCGGGAAACCGGAGCUAAUACCGGAUAAUAUAUUGAACCGCAUGGUUCAAUAGAGAAAGACGGUUUUGCUGUCACUUAUAGAUGGAUCCGCGCCGCAUUAGCUAGUUGGUAAGGUAACGGCUUACCAAGGCAACGAUGCGUAGCCGACCUGAGAGUGUGAUCGGCCACACUGGAACUGAGACACGGUCCAGACUCCUACGGGAGGCAGCAGUAGGGAAUCUUCCGCAAAGGGCGAAAGCCUGACGGAGCAACGCCGCGUGAGUGAUGAAGGUCUUCGGAUCGUAAAACUCUGUUAUUAGGGAAGAACAAAUGUGUAAGUAACUAUGCACGUCUUGACGGUACCUAAGCAGAAAGCAACGGCUAACUACGUG